UCUACGGCGAUGGGGUUGCUUCCUCUGCUCCAUUCAUGUCGCUGAGGUUUGUUCUUCCAUCCUCUUCCUUCCUUUGCCUCCUCAAAUUCUUCUUUGGUCUUACUCCUUACAGUAGAUUUCUGUCCUCCGUAGGUUUUGUGAUGUUUGCCUGUUUCUCGCUCUGGAGUAGGUCCCUGCGUCAAUCUUGCCUUCGGCAUUGAGGUGAGAAAAUUAGCCCCACCUUUUCUUGCUGCCCUACUGUUCGGUGAAAUGCUUGUGCCCUGAUGGAUUCCGUUCUUUUUUCCCUUGUGUUCCUUCGCGUCCUGCUUCUUGCCUGCUUUGCAAGUCUUUGUUUCAUCUGUUGGCUCGGUUCAGUUGAUUGUCCGUGCCUGGGUAUGUUCUGUGUACGAUGCAAAUUCGGAACAAUGGAUUUGGUUUUCUGAACCACAAAACUUGUCUAGCUUGAAUUAGCAGAUUACACCAUGAAAAUAUAUUGUCCUUUAAAAAAUACUGUGUAUUAGUACCUCUUUAGACCCUGCUGCUUGCGAUCUGAACCAGUAUAUACUUUUCUACAGUUUAGAUGUUAUAUCAGUUUGCAGAUGAAUUCGUGGCUAAUACUAGCAUUGUGAAUUUUUCAUGUUUGUCUUCCUUCCUUUCAACCUGAUGCAUUCAGCAACUCAGCAACAGGGACUGAUCAGCAUGUGCAUAAUGCUCGUUGGUGACUAUUCCUUGCUUUCUUAUCACAUGUACGCCAUGGUUAUGAGGGAUUAUCUUAACUCUAUUGCUAGAUACUGUGUUUGAGUUUUAUCCAUCUGUUAACCACCACCUGAAAAUGGUAUCAAAAUGUCUAUGCUUAAUUGUUCAGACACUGGAGCAGAAAAGGCUAUAAUUUGGUCUCACUUUGAUUCUGUUACGACUAGAUAUCAAGUUUAUAGCAUGUGAACUCUAAAGAGUAGGAACUAAGGCUGCGUUCGGUUUCUCUCGGCUCCGUUAACUCCGCUCCCGGAGCGGACCAUCCUUUAGCUUAAUUAGGCGGAGCUGCCAAAACCCAACUCCUGAACUCCACGGAGCGGGGAAGUUCCGAACACGGCCUAAAUCUUGUGCUUAAUCACUGCCUACCCUCCUGAGAACCAAAGCAAAAAAUGUAUAGUCCACACAAGUUUUAGUUAAGAUUGUAUCCAUAUCAUAUGGUACAGGUAUUGCCUUGCUGAUACUGACGUUUUGCUGAACCUAGACUUAUAAAUUGCCCUGUAUCACACUCACACAGGUGGAUCCUCGGUAUACAAAUUAGUACUUAAGCAUUGGCUUUUCUGAAUAAGAAUAACGGCGUACAUACCUGAAGAAUUAAAACUUGCAAUAAUAUAUAUUUCUACUUUGUACCACCUGUCUGAGAAUGUCAUAAGUCUUGUUUUUACACAUCUUGAAAUUUCUCAAUCUAUUUAUGAUUCUGCACAACUUUCAGUCUAUAAUUAAUUUUCCUGUCAACCAGCAUCCCAAGCAAGCAAUAUCAAGGUUGGUUAGCACACGUGUUACGCUUCCUAUAUAUGAUAUGGUCCAUAUAUGCACAUUACACGUAAAAAACUUGAGUUUCAUGCAAAGAUUUAAAAAAACAGCUUAUUUUCUAUCCGUGCACUCUUGGUAAAAAGUACCGCAUAUUGAAACUUGUGCAUUGUACCUUGCAGAUAUUGCAAGGCAUCUUCUUCCCGUCUCAGUAAUCAAAAAGUGCACCAUUGGACUGAUGUACCGGAAAGGGUAGUGCCACUGGAGAUAAUUAUUUCAGAUCACCUUCUACUUGAUGGAAGUCAUUAUCAGAAUGUAUGCAUACAACAACAACAACAACAACAACAAAGCCUUUAGUCCCAAACAAGUUGGGGUAGGCUAGAGGUGAAACCCAUAAGAUCUCGCAACCAACUCAUGGCUCUGGCACAUGGAUAGCAAGCUUCCACGCACCCCUGUCCAUAGCUAGCUCUUUGGUGAUACUCCAAUCCUUCAGGUCUCUCUUAACGGACUCCUCCCAUGUCAAAUUCGGUCUACCCCGCCCUCUCUUGACAUUCUCCGCAUGCUUUAGCCGUCCGCUAUGCACUGGAGCUUCUGGAGGCCUGCGCUGAAUAUGCCCAAACCAUCUCAGACGAUGUUGGACAAGCUUCUCCUCAAUUGGUGCUACCCCAACUCUAUCUCGUAUAUCAUCAUUCCGGACUCGAUCCUUCCUCGUGUGGCCACACAUCCAUCUCAACAUACGCAUCUCCGCCACACCUAAUUGUUGAACAUGUCGCCUUUUAGUCGGCCAACACUCCGCGCCAUACAACAUUGCGGGUCGAACCGCCGUCCUGUAGAACUUGCCUUUUAGCUUUUUUGGCACUCUCUUGUCACAGAGAAUGCCAGAAGCUUGGCGCCACUUCAUCCAUCCGGCUUUGAUUCGAUGGUUCACAUCUUCAUCAAUACCCCCAUCCUCCUGCAACAUUGACCCCAAAUACCAAAAGGUGUCCUUCCGAGGUACCACCCGGCCAUCAAGGCUAACCUCCUCCUCACACCUAGUAGUACUGAAACCGCACAUCAUGUACUCGGUUUUAGUUCUACUAAGCCUAAACCCUUUCGAUUCCAAGGUUUGUCUCCAUAACUCUAACUUCCUAUUUACCCCCGUCCGACUAUCGUCAACUAGCACCACAUCAUCUGCAAAGAGCAUACACCAUGGGAUAUCUCCUUGUAUAUCCCUUGUGACCUCAUCCAUCACCAAUGCAAAAAGAUAAGGGCUCAAAGCUGACCCCUGAUGUAGUCCUAUCUUAAUCGGGAAGUCAUCGGUCUCGACAUCACUUGUUCGAACACUUGUCACAACAUUAUCGUACAUGUCCUUGAUGAGGGUAAUGUACUUUGCUGGGACUUUGUGUUUCUCCAAGGCCCACCACAUGACAUUCCGCGGUAUCUUAUCAUAGGCCUUCUCCAAGUCAAUGAACACCAUAUGCAAGUCCUUCUUUUGCUCCCUAUAUCUCUCCAUAAGUUGUCGUACCAAGAAAAUGGCUUCCAUGGUCGACCUCCCAGGCAUGAAACCAAACUGAUUUUUGGUCACGCUUGUCAUUCUUCUUAAGCGGUGCUCAAUGACUCUCUCCCAUAGCUUCAUUGUAUGCCUCAUCAGCUUAAUUCCACGGUAAUUAGUACAACUCUGAACAUCCCCCUUGUUCUUGAAGAUUGGUACUAAUAUACUCCGUCUCCAUUCUUCUGGCAUCUUGUUUGCCCGAAAAAUGAGGUUGAAAAGCUUGGUUAGCCAUACUAUCGCUAUGUCCCCGAGACCUUUCCACACCUCAAUGGGGAUACAAUCAGGGCCCAUCGCCUUGCCUCCUUUCAUCCUUUUUAAAGCCUCCUUCACCUCAGACUCCUGGAUUCGCCGCACAAAACGCAUGCUGGUCUCAUCAAAGGAGUCGUCCAGUUCAAUGGUAGAACUCUCAUUCUCCCCAUUGAACAGCUUGUCGAAGUACUCCCGCCAUCUAUGCUUAAUCUCCUCGUCCUUCACCAAGAGUUGGCCUGCUCCGUCCUUGAUGCAUUUGACUUGGCCAAUAUCCCUCGUCUUCCUCUCUCGGAUCUUGGCCAUCUUAUAGAUGUCCCUUUCACCUUCCUUCGUGCCUAACCGUUGGUAGAGGUCCUCAUAUGCCCGACCCCUUGCUUCACCAACAGCUCGCUUUGCGGCCUUCUUCGCCAUCUUGUACUUCUCUAUGUUGUCUGCACUCCUAUCCAGGUAUAGGCGUCUGAAGCAAUCUUUCUUCUCUUUAAUCGCCUUCUGGACAUCAUCAUUCCACCACCAGGUAUCCUUAUCUUCGCUUCUCCUUCCCCUGGACACUCCAAACUCCUCCGAGGCCACCUUACGAAUGCAAGUCGCCAUCUUCAUCCACACAUUGUCCUCAUCCCCUCCUUCCUCCCAAGGGCCCUCCUUAAUGACCCUCUCCUUGAACACCUGAGCUACCUCCCCCUUGAGCUUCCACCACUUCGUUCUAGCAACUUUGGCACGCUUAUCCCGCUGGACACGAAUCCGAAAGUGGAAGUCAGCAACCACCAACUUAUGCUGGGGUACAACACUCUCUCCAGGUAUCACCUUACAGUCUAGGCACGCACGCCUAUCUUCUCUUCUCGAGAGGAUGAAAUCAAUCUGGCUAGUGUUGGCCACUACUAAAAGUCACCAGAUGUGAUUCUCUCUUUCUAAAGAGGGUGUUAGCUACAAUCAUGUUGUAGGCUAGAGCAAAGCUUAAGACAUCUUCUCCUUCUUGAUUCCUGAUGCCAUAGCCAAAGCCCCCAUGCGCCCCUUCAAAACCUGUGUUAGAUGUACCCACGUGGCCAUUGAGGUCUCCUCCUAUGAAGAGCUUCUCACCAAUUGGUACACUCCUAACCUAACCAUGUCUUCCAGGCCUUCCCAGAACUCCCUCUUGGUGUUCUCAUUGUGGCCUACUUGCGGGGCAUACGCGCUGAUAACAUUGAGAACCAAGUCCUCAACUACCAGCUUGACCAGGAUAAUCCGGUCCCCAUGUCUCUUGACGUCUACCACUCCAUACUUGAGGCUCUUGUUGAUCAAGAUGCCUACGCCAUUUCUGUUUGCAGCCGUCCCCGUGUACCACAGCUUGAAGCCGGUAUCGUCCACCUCCUUCGCCUUCUGUCCUCUCCAUUUGGUUUCUUGGACGCAAAGGAUAUCAACCCCUCUCCUCACCGCUGCAUCAACUAGCUCCCGAAGCUUCCCUGUCAGAGACCCUACGUUCCAGCUACCUAAGCGAAUCCUCCUAGGCUCGGCUAGCUUCCUUACCCUUCGCACUCGUCGAGUCAAAUGCGAAGACCCUUGCUCAUUUUCCACUACAUCCGGGCGCCGAUGUAGCGUGCCACUAAGGAUGCGACGACCUGAUCCUCGCUCACUUGCCACCGUAUCCGGAUCAAGAUACGGCGCGCCACUUGGGGGGUGACGGCCCGGCCCUUGCCCAUUUUCCACCACACCCGGGUUCCGAUGUGGCGCGUCCGCUGCAUCAGAAUGUAUGCAUCAUCGUGGUAUUUACUCAUGUACUAUGAAAUUAAACUGAGCUAACUGAAUUAUCUUUGCAAAAAAAUAUUAGACCAUGUAUAUUACCAAGUGUGUUCUUAUUUUUCGCUUUUCAGGUAGUUGUUAUAGGGGAGAACAAAGUAUUAAUAUUGCUGAUUUGUAAUAUAGAAUGAUCCUUAUGGUCAGAUUUGGCUAAAUUUUUAUGAAUGUGUCGCUUGAGUGUCCCAAAUAUGUGCUGGAUUUGAUUAGUAUGUUGUAUGCUUGCUAUGUUCCAGCCUUCCAGGAGGAUUGUUCUGGGAAUACAUUGACAAACAUGUUCUGCUUUUAAUGUUAUUUCUGUACAUAAAACAUACCAAAUUAAGAACUAAUGUACCCUUCUUACUUGGAAAUAGCUUGAUCUGGUUGGAGAUGUUCUAGCAUUCAGCGUGGGUUCUUGGGUUAGGCUGGCUUCUAGGAUUGACCGAUGCUAAAUUAAGAACUAGGAUUUGGCAGCAGGCAUGGUCUGUCCGGCGUGCUCAAGCCUUUUAGGUUGUUAUUAUCAUUUACAAUUAGGUUAUGCUAAACCAGCAAAUAGAGCUUCACCAUUUAAAAUUUUGAUCCACCAAUGGUGCUCCAGUGAUUUCUACUUAUUUGUUGUCGUGUCUUGGUAGUUUGAUAGAAUAGGGCAUGCUUUUCAUAUAGUUUCGUUACAUGAUGUUACAUCGGUUUUCUGACAGAUUAAUCCAUCACAAGCAAACAAAAUAGGAGACAAGGCAUCAUGAAGCAACCAUAGCAGGCUAUGACAAUUGGUUGUAAUAAAUAAAUGGAGAAUACCCACUGGACAGAAGUUUCUGAGCUAAAUAUGUUAGCCAUCCUAAACCCACUAAAAAACAAAAGAGAACAAUACCGAACCUGAGUAGUAUUUCAAUUUUAUUUCAUAUUAUUUCAUAUAUAUCUGUCAUCAUAUAAGUAUAUUGCAAAUAGAAGGGCUAAAAACAACUGUAGAAUUUCUGCCAAAUGAAGCUAUGCAAUAUAUGGAGCUAACUUGCAAUAGGAUCCCAUGGGAUUACAACUAUGAGAAGGACAGUCUGCUAAGAAAGAAAUUCAGUCCACUCAAAACGAAAAUCAGUCUCUUUUGCGUCAGAUUGAACAAAAAAAAAAGAGACAAGGCCAUCAACAGCCUAACAAAAGGUUGGGGUGGUGCGCUAGACACUGGCUAUGACACCAAGGAUGAGCUUCAAUGUAUAAGAUAUGUCAGAGUGUCGGCUUAAUCAUGCCUUGCUUCAUGUGCAGUAUGUUGAACUCACCUUGAUGAAUCAACCUUGGUCUCAGUCUCUCAAAUGAUAUGCUGCAGCAAACAAAGUCAGGACCUUGCUAUUCAGAUGAUGAACAGCAGUGCUGAUGAGUUGGGUGCUUUCAACUAUGAUAGCUCGGAUGAAGAACUCUACCGCUCAGGUGAUGGGCUAGCUUCCUUUUCCUUAUAAGUUGUGCCCCACUUAUAUAUUUGGCAAGCUUAUGAUCUUACUAACAAUGGUACUAAUGCGACAUCUAUAGCCCUGCCCUGCGAAUUGCUUUUGUUAUGUGCAAGUAUGAGAUCUGAUGUUGUAGGAACACAAUGUAUUUUUACACCCACUGCUUUAAGAUGCUUUUGUACACGCCCCUGCAUAUUGCUGUUCUACUAUGGAGGCUUCUUAUGCCUGGUGCUUGCUUCUAUUAACCAACUCUGUUGAUAGACUGCCAUCAAAUGAAGUACGGUACAGAUGAGACAUUCAGCAAUGACUACCUAAUACCACCGUCUUCAUGUCUUGGUCUUUUCAUCUGGCAGUAGAUACAAGACUCAGCCUAAUGUUAAGAGACAAGUGCUAUAUCUAUGAUGCAUCUCUCCUAAUACAACUUGGUUUAUAAAGCCAAUGUAAGCUAUCAUCAAGUGAUCUCAUAACUUUCUUUUGAGCUAUCAUGCUACCAUGUAAUAGAAUAUAUAACAAUAUGUGUACCUAAGUAUCUAUUAAUUUGGUUCUAAAUCACUCAUUUGCAUGGUUUAAAUGCCCGGCUCGUUUCUCGCUUUUUGUGCCAUGGGCACAACGGGGUCAUCUAGUUACUACAAAGCAUAAUGUAAUGCGUGCCAUCAUUCUUUGUUUAGUACUGUUGAAUUAAAAUAAUAAUCUGCCUUUUUGUUCAUUACCAUUUUUUAACAUUGCUAUUUCUGCUUUUAUGUGGUCCUUGAAACUUGUAAUCUGCUUGAGGCUAUGUUAAAACUUCAUCAAGUGUGAAGAUAUGACACUUGCAUGGACCUGUGCUAACUGAACUGUAUUUGUUAGGUUUGAUCUCUACCAGCACAAGAAGCUUGAUGAGCAAGAAGCACUAGAACUGGAGGCAAAAGGCUGUAGCUUUUCUGUUCUGUAUAACCAUUCUAGCCAAGUUGAUGGAGUUUCUAAUGUCACUGCUUGUUGAGCUGUGAUUUAUUUUCGCCGUUCAUAAUCAGUCUUGCCCAUGAUGUACCACAAAUGAUCCUCUAAUGCAAUGUAACACUUGAUAUGUAUUUAUGUCUCUUCUGUUGGUUCAUGAUUGUGAUUGUGCAGUUUGAAAUCUAUGUUUGCUUGAAGUGGAUGAAUUAAGUCUCAUGCACUGAAAGAUAUUUCUGAUGAUGCUCACAUACUUUUUAGUGACCAACAUGUUCGAAUUUCUUGCAUGAUUCGUGAUAACACAAGUUACUGACGAAAUUAGAUACACAGAAGCUUCA
rnacentral:lncRNA from 1 species